rnacentral:rRNA from 1 species
AGAGAGAGACAUGCGCGCAUAUCAAUAAGCGGAGGAAAAGAAACUAACAAGGAUUCCCUUAGUAACGGCGAGUGAAGCGGGAAGAGCUCAAAUUUGAAAUCUUCAAGGUUUUACCUUGACGAAUUGUAGUUUAAAGAAGUGUUUUCUGCUGGAAGUUUUGGUAAAAGUUCUUUGGAAUAGGACAUCAUAGAGGGUGAGAAUCCCGUAUUUGACCAUUAUUUUCAGCUUUGUGAUACACUUUCAAAGAGUCGGAUUGUUUGGGAAUGCAGUCCAAAAUGGGUGGUAAAUUUCAUCUAAAGCUAAAUAUUGGCGAGAGACCGAUAGCGAACAAGUACCGUGAGGGAAAGAUGAAAAGAACUUUGAAAAGAGAGUUAAACAGUACGUGAAAUUGUCAAAAGGGAAGCGUUUGACACCAGUGUUGUUUUCUCGAAAAUCAAUUAAAAAUGGCUCGAUUUUGUAUUGUUGAGACCUUAAAAGCUCACUGUACAUUUUUCGUGUCUUUUUUAAUGCACUUUUCGUUUAACAAGUCAACAUCAGUUUCUUUUGUUGUAAAAGGGUCAUUGGAAGGUGGCUUUCUUUUCGGAGAAAGUGUUUAUAGCCUUUGGCCUCUGCAAUCGGAAGAGACUGAGGUCUGCAGCGUAGACUCUUCGGGGUUAGAUACAUUUGUGCUAAGUUAUAGCUUUUUAUAGACAACUUGUUGACUAUAAUUAGUCUUGUAGCUUACUCGCUUAUGCUAUUUUACCUACGCUUAGGAUGUUGAAGUCAUCGUAUCGCGC